rnacentral:rRNA from 1 species
UACGUAGGGGGCAAGCGUUGUCCGGAUUUAUUGGGCGUAAAGAGCGUGUAGGCGGCCAGGUAGGUCUGCUGUGAAAACUCGAGGCUCAACCUCGAGACGUCGGCGGAAACCAUCUGGCUAGAGUCCGGAAGAGGAGAGUGGAAUUCCUGGUGUAGCGGUGAAAUGCGCAGAUAUCAGGAGGAACACCGAUUGCGAAGGCAGCUCGCUGGGACGUUACUGACGCUGAGACGCGAAAGCGUGGGGAGCAAACAGG